rnacentral:rRNA from 1 species
CGGAGAGUUUGAUCCUGGCUCAGGAUGAACGCUGGCGGCGUGCCUAAUACAUGCAAGUCGAACGCUUUGUGGUUCAACUGAUUUGAAGAGCUUGCUCAGAUAUGACGAUGGACAUUGCAAAGAGUGGCGAACGGGUGAGUAACACGUGGGAAACCUACCUCUUAGCAGGGGAUAACAUUUGGAAACAGAUGCUAAUACCGUAUAACAAUAGCAACCGCAUGGUUGCUACUUAAAAGAUGGUUCUGCUAUCACUAAGAGAUGGUCCCGCGGUGCAUUAGUUAGUUGGUGAGGUAAUGGCUCACCAAGACGAUGAUGCAUAGCCGAGUUGAGAGACUGAUCGGCCACAAUGGGACUGAGACACGGCCCAUACUCCUACGGGAGGCAGCAGUAGGGAAUCUUCCACAAUGGGCGAAAGCCUGAUGGAGCAACGCCGCGUGUGUGAUGAAGGGUUUCGGCUCGUAAAACACUGUUGUAAGAGAAGAAUGACAUUGAGAGUAACUGUUCAAUGUGUGACGGUAUCUUACCAGAAAGGAACGGCUAAAUACGUGCCAGCAGCCGCGGUAAUACGUAUGUUCCAAGCGUUAUCCGGAUUUAUUGGGCGUAAAGCGAGCGCAGACGGUUAUUUAAGUCUGAAGUGAAAGCCCUCAGCUCAACUGAGGAAUUGCUUUGGAAACUGGAUGACUUGAGUGCAGUAGAGGAAAGUGGAACUCCAUGUGUAGCGGUGAAAUGCGUAGAUAUAUGGAAGAACACCAGUGGCGAAGGCGGCUUUCUGGACUGUAACUGACGUUGAGGCUCGAAAGUGUGGGUAGCAAACAGGAUUAGAUACCCUGGUAGUCCACACCGUAAACGAUGAGUGCUA